ACGCGGGGCUCAGUCCCAUGAAUGGUGAGAUCAUGACUUGAACCAAAACCAAGAGUCAAACGCUUAAGACUGAACCACCCAGGUGCCCCACAUGCUAGGAGUUUUGAUGGCCAAUGCUUCUCAUCCUAGACCCUCUAUAGGAAUUGCCCACAGGAAAGAGAGCCACCUUACCUAAGGUCACACCCCUUUCUGAAAGCAGGUCACUUGCAGUGACAGGUUAAUUGGGGGGCAUAUGCUCCACUCACUGCCUCAGUGAAGGGCCAUUCCAGGUCGUGGUAGGAUUGACUGAGGCCACUGUUUGAACUGCAUCAACUGUUCAACCCCCUCCCACUUCACCUUUCCUCCCUCAGGCCUCACAUGCUGUUCCUGAGAGCUUGUCUCCUCCCUCUCCCCCCAAUAAACCACCUGCACACAAGUCUCAAGAGUCUGUUUCCCAGGGAACAGACUGAGAACUGUGGGCGACGGAGAGGGAGGAUCCUAAGGUAGCUCCUCAAUUUCUGUUUUGAGACAGCACAUGAUGCCAUCCACUGAGAUGAGCACAGGAAGGUGAUAAUGUACAGGAACUGAAGCAGGUUUGCUGGAAAAGAUGGGAGUCAGACGGCAGUCCACUGUGGCUCCUCACUGCAGGCUUGCUGGCGGAUCCUGGGGAGGUCUAGCCUUGAAGUUAGAGGCAGGCCUCUCAUACCCACCACCUUUGGUUGGAAGAUCAGCAGCGUUCUCCGAAGACAUCCUCCAACUCCUCUUCCAAACUGUAUCCUUACCCUUUUAUAUCUUCUUUAUGGGCAUGAUGAUGGAUUCAAGGUUUUUAGCCAAGUCCUCCUUUGCAAACUCAACCACCAGGAUGAUCUGUUUCACUACUGAUUCGUGCCUCCAGAGAUUUUUGUAUAUUGAUUAAUGCCACCAAAACAAGAGUUUUGUUUUGAUGAGACAGCAUUAUCACACUCCGUCUGCAGGAAGCAAGGAAAACUUUCAUGGAAUAAAGGAGCUUGUUAAACUCUAUCUCAGAAACCAAGCCUAGAUUCAGACUUGUCCAAAUCUUAGUUCCACUGAACAAGCAGAGCUCAAUUCUUUUUUUUUUCUCCCAAGUUUUAAUUUAAAUUCUGGUUAACAUACAGCAUAAUACUCGUUUUAGUUUCAUGUGUAGAAUUUAGUGAUUCGUUAUCACUUAAAUACAACACCCCGUGCUGAUCACAACGAGGGCCCUCCUUAAUAGCAGAGCUCAAUUCUAAACAGUUCUUUUUUUGGCGCGCUUGCUGUGGAUGCCUUUAUAUUGAGAGAGCUGAGAUCAAAGAAGUGCUAGCAGAGGGACACUGUGUUCUUUCCCCACAGAGCAUCUCAGCCAUGUCCUAUAUCUUUUUCAGCCACUCUCAGAUAAUAAAAAGUCCUUGAAUCAC